GACGAACGCUGGCGGCGUGCUUAACACAUGCAAGUCGAACGGAAAGGCCCUGCUUUUGUGGGAUGCUCGAGUGGCGAACGGGUGAGUAACACGUGAGUAACCUGCCCUUGACUUUGGGAUAACUUCAGGAAACUGGGGCUAAUACCGGAUAGGAGCUCCUGCUGCAUGGUGGGGGUUGGAAAGUUUCGGCGGUUUGGGAUGGACUCGCGGCUUAUCAGCUUGUUGGUGGGGUAGUGGCUUACCAAGGCUUUGACGGGUAGCCGGCCUGAGAGGGUGACCGGGCACAUUGGGACUGCGAGACGGCCCAGACUCCUACGGGAGGCAGCAGUGGGGAAUAUUGCGCAAUGGGCGGAAGCCUGAUGCAGCAACGCCGCGUGCGGGAUGACGGCCUUCGGGUUGUAAACCGCUUUCGCCUGUGACGAAGCGUGAGUGACGGUAAUGGGUAAAGAAGCACCGGCUAACUACGUG
rnacentral:rRNA from 1 species